rnacentral:rRNA from 1 species
UAACGCGUGAGGAACCUGCCUUCCAGAGGGGGACAACAGUUGGAAACGACUGCUAAUACCGCAUGAUACGUUGGAGCCGCAUGACUCCGACGUCAAAGAUUUAUCGCUGGAAGAUGGCCUCGCGUCUGAUUAGCUAGUUGGUGAGGUAACGGCCCACCAAGGCGACGAUCAGUAGCCGGACUGAGAGGUUGGCCGGCCACAUUGGGACUGAGAUACGGCCCAGACUCCUACGGAAGGCAGCAG